CGGACGCGACAGAUGUACCUCAGAGUCUCUACGCAGUCGCCUCCCUCAAUGAUAGUAGGCCUGAUCAGCAGUACGUGGAUCUGCACAUGAAAAACAUGCGCAGAAGAGGCAUGAGUACACAAUAACGGUACUCAGUAAGUGCCAAGCCUAACCUCGGUUGGGUAGUGACGAGGAAGGUUAGGGCCCUACUGAAGUUAAAUAAAAUAUAAAGGUUGUGAGAACGUGAUUUUUGCCCUAUAUGAAUUACUCCCACAAAUUCAAAACAAAAUAAUCUCUUUCAUUAUUUGCGAAUUUCGUAGCAUUUUUGUUAUUAUUUGCAUUUGUCUGCUCAUGUUUAUUUUUGCGAAUCACAAAAAUAACUUAUUUUUGCACUUUUUAAUUUUAGAUUUGAUUUUUGAUAGUUUCUCUUUUAGUUUGAUUUUUAAUUAUUUGUGGUAAUUUAGAGUUAAUUAAUCUAGUUUGGUAGGAUGAUUUUUAUUAGGAAAUUAAUUGAGAUUUUUAUUUUUGAGAAGAAAAGAGUUGUUAAAAUAAAAAGAAAAGAAUGGGAAAGAUCAGAUAAUUGGACCUUCUUUAAUUCUAAAUUUCCUAAGCCCAAACCAAACACCCCAUACCCGCCCAAUUGAAACCCAGACCCGCCCCAAUACCCGCCCAAUUGCAGCUCAGACCCGCCCUAAUACCCGGUCCGGCCAUUCAUUAAAUCAAACGACGCCGUUUUGGGUUUGUGAAUCUGAGCCGUUAAUCUCCCCUUGAUGAAAUAGCUUAGAACUAAAGCUCCGAAAUGGACCCCCCCUCAGAACCCCCAUCCCGUCUCUCAUCUCCCUCAACUCAAAAACCCUAGAGACCAUCAGCCGCCCUCAAAGUCUCUCCAUCAUCUCCGGUGGCGCCGCCGCCUUGCAACACCCCAAACCACCCCAAAAUCACACCCCUAGACCAUCUCAUCCUCCUCCCUCCCAAUAUCAACCCAGUUCCUCUCGAAUCCCUCUCGAUCUCUUCGAAUCCCAAAUCUGAGUUCGGAACCCUAGAAUAUCAAAUCACCUUAUCGUUGACUCCAUUGGCAUGCAUGACCAUGAGACUUCGUUUAUCUCAAGUUUGGAGCUCUGAUUCAUCACAAAUUGAUGUUGUUCAUUUGUUCUUGACAAAGAACAAAUGAAUAACAUUAGUUUCGUUAAAUUAGUUCGGGUUCGUAGUUUAAGUCGGUAAGUCUUCUUUAUUUUUUCUUUUCUUUUUAGUUUCGUGUUGUUUCACCUUCAUAUUCCUUUCUUCUUUUUCGUUUCUUCUAAUGCUUGUUUCUCUUAUUGAAAAGUGAUAAAAGUCUCAAGUCUAGUUUUCCCUCUUGGUUAAAGUAGUGAUCGUAUUUGCUCCUGUGAAUUCUCAGUUUCCCCCUUUUAAAUUUUUGAACGAUGUUAUCUGUUUUCUUUCGGUUAAUUAUAAUACUGCCCUUUUGAUAAUUAGCUUAAGUUAGACCUUUGUUAAUUUAGUUUGGAUUUGGUAUUUUAGCUUAAAAAGAAGAUCAAUUGUUAGUUUAGAUUUUGGGCUUUUGAAGUGGUUCAUUUGUUUCUCCUUUCUGCUUCUCAUUGAUUUAGCUAAAUGGGAUUCUAAAUGACGUUCGGUCCAUAAGUUCAAAUUCUGGCCUGUUCAUUUGGGGUUUGGACCUUGGGUCAGCAUUGACCCAUACCCAGGGGUAAUAAUAGGGGUUUAAGGGGGCAAUUUGGGAAUUCUAGGGGUAAGGAAAUCUUAGUAACAGACUAUGAAGCUUCCUAGAAGCUGGGGAGGGGACUAUUCUGAGUUCUGAUUUCUAAACUAGGGGUAUUUGAGCAAAAAUGAAAACUCUAGAAGGUUUUAAGUGCAAAACAUAGUUUAUUUCUGCAGCCCUAAUGCCUUGCCUAUAAAGGACCCUUACUUGAUAUUGAAGUCAGACUUAUGGAUAGAUAAAAGAUUAGAGAAAAUUAAAAACGGCUGAAAAAUACUGAAAGAGUUUGAAUAAUUAGAAAAAUACAAAGAAAAAUCACAGAAUCACUACUACAUUGAAGUUUUUUUCUUCAAUUCUUGGGGUUUUCAAAUUUUUGAAGUAAUCUCUGAUUCAUUUUGGGCUCGAAAAGUUUUAAAGAAGUUGGAUUUGCUAUUGUUGAAUUCUUGAAGUGCUUCUGCUUCUGCUACUGAUCUUCUCACCUUUUCUUUUGCUCUAAUUGCAUCAGUUAUUCUCUUGAAACUAUGGAGGAAAUGAAGUUUGAUUAAGUUUUGUGUAAAGAUCUGUGAACCGAACUGGAGUUAAAUGAAAAAUACUAGUCCCUGUUGUGAUUACUGCUUGAUUCUGCCAUGUUAUUAUUCAUGUUUUUAGUCUAGUUUGUUGUGGAUACUUCAUUCCUGGAUACAUAUUUAGUUUUAAAUGCUGGGUUAGACUUUGUUUGAAUAUAGGUGAUUCAGGAGUGUUUUAAAACUUAGUAUAAUAUGUGUUAGUUGAAGACUAUGACCCCUAAUUUAAUUAGUCAAGGCUGGCUGGUUUGGAUAUAUGUUUCAUAGCUGUGGGUUGAAUUCUAAGUUUAAACCUUUCAUGUUGUUGGUUUAGCAAGUUUGGUUUGGGUUUAUUUCCCAUUGAUUAUUGUAGAUCUGCUCCUGUAUAGCUUGAAAUGCCGUACAAUAGUUUUAGAAUUGUCAUUUAAUUCUGCUUUUGAUCAGAUUUAGUUUUCGUUGGCAAGUUUGAUAUCAGGUGGUCUAGUUUAAAUGUGCUAUGCUUGGAUCAGAAUUUAGUACGAGGUGGGGCCUUUGAGUUUUGUUGUUGAUUGGUGAAUAACUUGUGUAAAGGUUUGUUAUUGCAACUAGGAAUUGUAUCUUAAUUUUAGAACCUAUGUUAGCAUAAAAAUGUGCUUUGCAUCUGAUUCAAGGACUAUCAGUACUUGUUUUACUCCAGAUUUUCUUGAAUGAUCCUCAAACAUCAGUGCUGAAUUUGUAUUGGGUUGCCUUCUUUGGCCCAAUUGCAUCAAUUUUUCCUUCGGCAAUGGGGUUCCCUAUCUGGGCUUCACGUCAAGCCCAAUUGUGUCUCGUGCCUGAUCAUAUAGCAAUUGGCAGCUGGCCAUUGGGCCUAUAGUCAGCCUGUGCCUCCUUAUUGGUUUAUUGGUUAUUAUAAUUUUGUUUAAACAUCUGUCCAAAGUAAAUCAAAAAUCCCCUUAGCUUUUCUUUAAUUAAUUAAAUUCUUAGAAUUAGUUUGAGGCGUGCUUAUUAGGCAAGACAUAGUUGAUGGCCCUCAAGGCUUAGUUGAGUUUUCCUUUUAAAAUGGGAAUUAAGGGGUGCCAUGCCAAACAAAACUCUUAAAUGCCUGGCCUUCAUUUAAUUAUUUCUUUCAAUUUUUUAGGAUUCAAGGCGCACCAUUUAGCGAAUUUUCCAUGGCCCUCGCAAAGUUAAAAAUGCGUAGUUGCUUUAGGCGCAUUAUUUUAAUAAUUAACUUCCCUAAACUCGGGUGUGCAUUUCAUGUGACCCAAAUCCAAAUCCUAACAACGCUAAAUAAAAUAUGUCGCAGACCGCGGGUGUAUUUCAUGUGGCGUGAUCCAAAGUCAUGUUUUGUAUAACGUUGGAAUCUUCAUAAAAAUGAACAAAAGCGUUUUUAAAAUGCAUAUAGGUUUGAAAUAUCUUAAAAUGAGAUAAUAGGCCUAUAAUAAUAAUUGAGCAACUGUGCUAGAACCACGGAAUCCGGGAAUGCCUAACACCUUCUCCCGGUUAAAAGAAUUCCUUACCCGAAUUUCUGUGUUCGCAGACUGUAAAACAGAGUCAAUCUUUCCUCGAUUCGGGAUUUGAACCGGUGACUUGGGACACCAUAAAAUUAUCCCAAUUGGCGACUCUAAAUUUUAAUGAUCCCGUUUCGAUUGUCACUUUAAGUUGGAAAAAAUUCCCUUAUAUACUCUUCCGGGGUGUAGUAAAAAGGAGGUGUGACAAAGGUUAAUAGUAUAGAACAGAACAGUAUAAAUGAGUACAACAGUAAAAUAAUACAGGGUGAACAGAACAGCAACAACUAUACAGAACCAGGUAAACAUGGAAACGAAAUACAACUCAGCACCGAUAGUAACAAUCGGGGAUCUCCCAGGAUACCGUUCUGUAGUCCCAUCUUUACAUAUCCAGUAGAUCUCUCGGGAUACUAUCCCGUAGUCCAUCAUAUAUAUAUAGCCGAAGGAUAUCCCGGGAUACCGUCCCGUAGUCCAACUCAUAGUGCGCGGGGAUCUACCGAAAUCCCGUUCCGUAGUCCCAAAUGUAAAUACCUAGUAAUGGGGGAAUCUACCUGGUGCAUUCCCGUAGUUCCAUAUAACUGUGCGGGGGGAUCUACCGAGAAUCUAUCCCGUAGUCCCAAAGUAAAUAUGCAGGGGGAUCUACUGGGAAUCUAACCCGUAGUCCUAAAGUAAACAGACAAGGGGGGGGGGAGCUACUGGAAUCCCACAUCCGUAGUCCCAAUGUAAAUACACAACAGCAACAACGAAAUAUUCAGAGAAGAGAAAUUUCAUGUUAAGGCAACAAAUAAUUCUAGCCUAGCACGUUGCACAGAGUUCAGGUAAACAGAUUGAAUAAUUAAAGCAAUUAAAUCACUCAGACAUGCUUUCCUAAACUAACAACGGGCUUAAUAGUACAAAUAAUAAUAGCAGGAGAAGGAACAUACUAAUAAGUACUUAAAGAAAAUCAGAUUUCCAAGAAUUUGCACAAGUACACACUCGUCACCUCACGUACAAGGCAUUUCAAUUACCAAAUAUAUCAAUCAUAAGGGGAAGGCCCCCCACACAAGGUUAGGCAAGCCACUUACCUCGAACGGUUCAAAAAUCAACCUAACACCACGUCUUUGCCACGAGUACUCGACUCCAAAUGGCCCAAAUCUAUUCAAUUCAAUUGCAUAAUGUAAAUAACACUUCAAGUAACUGAUUUUACAAUUAAUUUCUAAGCUAAUACGCAAAAUUAUGUAAAAUGAUCAAAACGUCCCUCGGGCCCACAUGGUCAAAGCCCGAGGUUCGAACCAAAACUCGAUUACUCAUUCCCCCAUGAACCCAAAUAUAUAAUUUAUUUUGAAAUAGGACUCCAAAUCAAGGUCCAAAUCCUCAAUUUUUGAAAAACCUAGGUUUUACCCAAAACUCCCAAUUUCCCCCAUGAAAAUCUUUUAUUUUAAGUUGAAAUCAUGUUAAAAGAUGUUUAUGAUUGAAGGAAAUGAGUUAAAAUUAACUUACAAUCGAUUUGGAAGAAGAGUUGUUCUUGGAAAAUCACCCAAAGGAGUUUGUGUUUUGAAAAGAUGUGAAAAAUGGGUUUAAAAUCGUCUAAGUAUAAAGUUGCAGGUCGCAAGCAUGGGAAAUGCGAACAGGGGUUCGCAAUUGCAAACCCCGACCUCUGCUAAAUCUUGGGAAUUGCAAUGCGAACCCUUCAGGAAAGUUGGACCUUCGCAUUUGCGAACAGAAUGCUGCAUUUGCGAUUGGGGAAUUGCGAAGAAUGGGUCGCAUUUGCGACCCAAGGCUGGACGGGUAUUUUCGCAUUUGCGAAGGAAUACUCGCAUUUGCGAGCAAGGCAGGUCUGGAAUGUUUUUCGCAUUUGUGAUCCAUCCUUCAUAUUUGUGAAGCCUGCAAGCCUGAUCAUACCAGCAAAAAAUUCUGCAACUUUCUAAGUUCCAAAAGCACCCCAUGGCCUAUCCGAAACUCUCCUGAGCCCUAUGGGCUCCAAACCAAUUAUAUACACAACCUCAAAACCAUCCCACGAACUUAUUCGUGUAAUAAAAUCACCAAAAUAACCUCAAUAACAACGAAUAAAACCUCAAAAUCACAGAAUUUUCUCAAACUUCUUAAAACAUCAACUUUAGCAAUUUAGGUCCGAAUCACGUCAAAUGACAUCCGUUUUCAUCAAAUUUUACAAAAAUAUCUUAAAUCAUAUAAAAGACUUGUACCGAACGCCGGAACCAAAAUACGGGCCCGAUACCAUCAUGUUCUAAUCAAAUUUCAUUUAAAAUUUCUUUAAAUAAUUUCAAAAAAUAAUUUUAUUUGAAAUUCAUUUCUCGGGCUUGGGACCUCGAAAUUCGACCCAUAUUUUCCUACGGACCCUCCGGGACCGUCAAAUCACGGGUCUGAGUCCGUUUACCAAAAAUGUUGACCGAAGUCAAAUUAGCUCAUUUUACAGUCAACAUUUAUCAUUUUUCACAGAUUUUCACAUCUAGGCUUUCCGGCUACGCGCCCGGAACGCAAAUCGAGGUGAUGCUAAAAGAGGUUUUUAAGGCCUCAGAACACAGAAUUUCGUUUUAAAACAAGUGAUGGCCCAAACACAUUUCUCACAUCCCAUAAUUUCACUUCUUGUUGUUUUUGUUUCCUUCCUUUUCCUUUUUCUUUUAAUAAAAUAAAAAAAUGAUUCGAUUGAACAUUAUGUAGGUUGUCUACGUAUCAUGACGCCGCAUGAAUCAGAUCUUUGUGUAGUUUGGGAAAAAUCAAGAAUAGACUAAACAAACUAACGUUCCCUUUUUUUUUUUACCUUAAUGAUUUCUCUAACAAGAAAAGGGAAAUAAAAGAAGCAAUUUUUUUUGAGUUUCCUAGACUUAACGUUCUAUAACGUAUCUUAAACUCAAGCUUAAUGGGCAUAUAUUGUUUUUCUUUUUGAAAUAAAUGCUCCAUGAGAAAUUAUUAAGGAAAAAAAAUCCUAGAAGAGAAAAAUAUUUUUGAUCCUUUUUUUUAGGAAAAAAAUCUAAAGAAUAAACCAAAGAAAAAUAUUUUGAAUUUUCGUUUGAUAUCCUGAAAAAAGAUUUCAAAACAAGAAAUGAUAAAUAUAAAAAAUAUUUUUGAAUUUCAGUUUUGAUUACUUAAGGGAGAAACUCUGAAGAUAAACAAAAGAUAAAGUAUGUUGUUUUUUUUCUUCUAUGUACAAUGUCCUGAAGUUAUAGUAAAAAUAAAAGAAAUUUUUUUAAUUCUUUUUUCAUUAAUUUCCCAAAGAAGAACCUCAAAGGAAAAUCUUUUUGGAUUUUUGGAAUUAAUAUCUUAAAGAAAACUUUUAAAGAGGUAUUAAAAGAAAAUUUUCUUCUUUUUUGAAUUUUUAGUCUUAAUAAUUAAAGAAAAUAUAAAAGCAAUUUUUAUUUUGAGUUCUAGAUAUUAAUUUCUUAAGGAAAACCACCUCAAAUAAAUUCUUUUUUUUUUUCAUUUCUAGAAUUAGUAUUAUAAAGAAAACUUCUAAUGGAAAUAUAAAACGCAAAAUCUCUUUUUGGAUUUUUGAUGUAUAAUACAUUUUUCAAAUAUAAAAUAGGAAAUAAUAACAAAAGACUCGACAAACAUAGCUAGACUAUGACAGACUUUAGCAUCAACUAAAUGACCGAAUACUACUACACAUGACUAGAAAGUAAAACAUGAACAAUAGACUCAAAAACAUAAAAAGGCUCCUCAGGCAGCUCCUGAAUGUAAUGGUCCUGGGAUAUCUGUCAUGCUCAAACUCCGGUAAGUAGAUCCACACAUGUAUGAGAAAACUAAAACCAACACUAUGUGAGACAAUAACAUUCCCUACUAGAUACAUGCAAGAUAUGGUUGAGGCUAUUUUUGCAAAAUAGCUUAUGUGGCCCAAAAGGUGGCUAGAAGUGCAAAAUUUGGCUAAGAUUUGGCAAAAUUUUACUAGGAAGAACGGACCCUAUGUGGGUUGCUUACGUAUCACGCCCCGAAAGAUGAGAAUCAGGUAUGCGUAGUUCGGACAGAUUGGAUACGGGCGAGAAUUAAAAAGCAACUAAUUUAGAGAAGAUCUGUUUUUUGUCUUUUUGUUUUGAAAAAUGAUGAAACAUGUAAACUCUUUUUGGAUUUUCUUUUUCUCUUUUUUUUUUUAUUAUUUUUUUUCGAAAAAAUAACGGGGAAAGUGCAAACUCUUUUUUGGAUUUUUCAUGUUUUUUUUCUUAACAAAAAUGUGACAGAAAACAUAAUCGGGCACUACUUGCUUUAUUUUUCACACUUCACCCUCUCCUUUUUUGUUUUUUUUUCUUUUUCAUUUGCCCUCAACUAUCAUUGGUCUGCCAAAUGACCCUUUUACCCUUGAAGAAAUGCAACAUGUAGCAUAUAGGAUGCAUCAAGAUGGUCUGUUAUUUUGGGUACACCUGUUCUAGAUGGACCCAACCCCUGUGUUGAGUCCCCAAACUCAAAUGCACGUGAUACAAACAAACGUUCCUACUAGGGAUCCGACAUGAGGUCAUGUUAUUCUAAGUUUAAACCUGGGCGUGUGUUCUUGACCUGGCUUACCCGAGCGGACAACUCGAGUCGAAGAGGGGGCAACAUACCGGGAGUACUAAAGUCUACCUGGCCUUGUUGCUGGCCCAGCUUCGUUCUAUUCGGUAUGACUUCUACAGAAAAAGCGAGCCACACAAAUGUGUGCUACAUUUUCAGAAGACUCAGAGGGGUGGCGUAACAAGACAAUUAUAUACAAUUCAAAUAAUAUCAAAGCGACAAACAGACAACAGUUAGCACAAAAAGUUCACAAAAUACAGUAAUAUUAACAAUAAUUGAAGCCAAGUAAAAUCAUAUUAACAAGCUCGAAUUCUGAACCCUGAACCAGAAGUUCUGGGUUCUUAUCCCUAGCAGAGUCGUCAGAGCUGUCACACCUCCUUUUUACUAACCCCGAAAGGGAUAUAAGGGGAGUUUUUUCCAAUUUAAGUGACAAUCGAAACGAGAUUAUUUAUUAGAUUCAGAGUUGCCACUUGGGAUAAUUUAUGGUGUCCCAAGUCACAGGAUUAAAAUCCCGAAUCGAGAAAAUUGACUCUUAUUUACGGGCUGCGAACACAGAAAUUCGGGUAAGGAAUUCUGUUAACCCGGGAGAAGGUGUUAGGCAUUCUCGAGUUCCGUUGUUCUAGCACGGUCGCUUUGAUCAUACUUGGCUUAAACAAAUUGUUUGAUUACUAAUUUUAGAACCUAUGUGCAUUUGCCUCUUUUAAUUAGGAAAUUAUCUUGAAAAGGGUCACGGGGACGUGUACCCAUUUGUUUGGCGCGUCAAAAAUCAUGUCACGCGAACAUGUCCACAAUUAAUAACGCUUUAUUAAUAUUAAAAAAUAUUUAGUCGAAGUUGCGCGAACGCCUACUCCGAUUUUGUUUUUAAGAUCGUAGUUACGCAACAACGAUAAUAUAUUAAAUUGCGACUAAAGCAAACUACGAUGUAUAAUAUAAUAAAGUAAAGUGAAUAAAAAGGGAACUAAAUAAAAGAAAAUAUAAUUCACGCCCAUAUUAGCCUCUUUAUUCCUAUAACCCACGUUAUUCAACAAAAGUAUGUUUUACAACGAUAAACAUAGGCAAAUUGGUGAGAUCAAUCUGAACAUCCUCUUUUCAAAGAUUCUGCCACAUAUUACUUAAAUAAUUUACUAUUAAGUGACACUAAACCCAGGCAUUUUUCAAGUGCAAAAUUCCACAAAAGUUUGAAUUCACAUGUUAAAUCAAAAGCAUGGAAGAAACUUAGCAGUACACAACAAUUCACGAAUGGGAACCAACAUUAUAAUUCAUUACUAUUAUUUAAAUAUCCUAAAAUGAGAAAUCAACACCAUUAGAUAAAGUAAGAGGGAAAGAGUUGAACCUGAAAAUGGAAUUUUUCAAUUGAUGAAGACAGCUAAUAAUUACAUGGACAGGAAUAACACAGUUACAAUCGGAACUCGCAUCUACAAAAAUCUCAAACACGAAUCCGGACCGAAAAUCUCGUACGGACUUUGGUGGACUUGCCCCCAACUCAACCUCUAAAUUGACCUCUACUGACCAGCUUCAAACCAAGCCUUGAAUGGAAACUAACGAGCUAACCUCCUCCCAACAGUGCCUAAGGAUCUCAAGGGUGAGAUUUUCCCAAAAUAUUAUCUUUUCCUUUCAAAGACAAUCCUUGGAGUAGAAAGUAGGCGUCACUGCUUUGUAUAUAUGGACUUUGGAUGAUUAAAAUCUUUAGAAGUAAUUUAGAUUUUUAGGUGAGAACAUGCUUAACGAAGAGAGAUACCAAACAAAGAUUUUAAUUCUAAUUGUGUGGUGCCACCGAUCUUUUUGAUGGUAUGCGGCCGUUCUUA
rnacentral:lncRNA from 1 species